CCUACGGGAGGCAGCAGUGAGGAAUAUUGGUCAAUGGCCGUAAGGCUGAACCAGCCAAGUAGCGUGAGGGAAGACUGCCCUAUGGGUUGUAAACCUCUUUUAUGCGGGGAUAAGGUGUUCCAGGUGGGGAUUUUUGCGGUUACCCCUUGAUUAGGACCCGGCUAAUUCGGUGCCAGCAGCCGCGGUAAUACGGAAGGUCCGGGCGUUAUCCGGAUUUAUUGGGUUUAAAGGGAGCGUAGAUGGGUUGUUAAGUCAGUUGUGAAAGUUUGCGGCUCAACCGUAAAAUUGCAAUUGAUACUGGCAGUCUUGAGUACAGUUGAGGUAGGCGGAAUUCGUGGUGUAGCGGUGAAAUGCUUAGAUAUCACGAAGAACCCCGAUUGCGAAGGCAGCUUACUAAACUGUGACUGACAUUGAUGCUCGAAAGUGUGGGUAUCAAACAGGAUUAGAUACCCUAGUAGUC
rnacentral:rRNA from 1 species